AAACACGGGGAAACCUAAGAUUCACAUUAGCUUCAGUAAAGCUGCUGUGUAAAUGGCAUUUAAAAUCACUGUUAUCACCACUGACAGAGAUGACGUCAGCUCUUUGCCACCUGAGUAAAUAAAUAUUUAUAAGGUGCUGUAAGUCUGAAGAAUGUCACACUGCUCCAAUAGACUUCAUUUUCAGGCAAGAGUGAAAUAGGCAACCACAAGAACCCCGUCACCACAUUUGAUGAGUUGUCCAUUCUCUUCUCUAAUACAGCAGCACCGGGUUCAAUACCGAGGGCAAACCACGCAACCAAACCGUCCUCCUCUUCCUCUGGGACUCCUCCCGCCUGGGCGGGUGAGCCUUUCCUCAUCUCAAGCUCGACUCCAAGGAACACCAAGAAACUGGACCACAUCGGGGUGCCCGUUCCUGGCGGCGUACAUUAAAGCAGUCCAUCCAUUUUCAGAAGUCUCAUUGAGAAGAGAUGGAGAAUGGCUGAGUAUUCCUGCUAACUUUGCGACAUUUCCUUCUGCCGCUGAACUGUGGAGUUCAGAAAUCAUCUCCCUCUUGGGAUUUCUUUCAACAGAAGACAUUUCUUCCUUUAAAAAAACAAAAGAGAGAGAGAGAGAGAAGUGAGAAAGACCUUAUUGAUAAUUGCUCUUUGCACGAAUGGAUGAACAUUAUUUAGAUGCUGAUCUUGGAAAGGCAGCAUGUUUCCAAACCAGUACACCUGUCAAAAGAUAAUUCAUAGUCAACUGCUACUGCAGUAGAGAAGGGGGACCGAGCCGGGGGCACAGAGUGGAGGGGGUUAAAGCAGAGAGAAUUAGAGGCUGAUGCUUAUGGAGAUGUACUGCAGGUUCAACCCAGAGCCGUGUCUCCUGGAUUUUGUAACAGCAAUGUGCCUAGUCAAAUCCACAGCCUAGUCUGCAUAAAGUUCAGGAAAACAACGGGUCCAAGAUUAACUUUC
rnacentral:lncRNA from 1 species